rnacentral:rRNA from 1 species
ACACGUGUGCAACCUGCCUUUAUCUGGGGGAUAGCCUUUCGAAAGGAAGAUUAAUACCCCAUAAUAUACUGGAUGGCAUCAUUCGGUAUUGAAAACUCCGGUGGAUAGAGAUGGGCACGCGCAAGAUUAGAUAGUUGGUGAGGUAACGGCUCACCAAGUCUACGAUCUUUAGGGGGCCUGAGAGGGUGAUCCCCCACACUGGUACUGAGACACGGACCAGACUCCUACGGGAGGCAGCAGUGAGGAAUAUUGGACAAUGGGUGAGAGCCUGAUCCAGCCAUCCCGCGUGAAGGACGACGGCCCUAUGGGUUGUAAACUUCUUUUGUAUAGGGAUAAACCUAGAUACGUGUAUCUAGCUGAAGGUACUAUACGAAUAAGCACCGGCUAACUCCGUGCCAGCAGCCGCGGUAAUACGGAGGGUGCAAGCGUUAUCCGGAUUUAUUGGGUUUAAAGGGUCCGUAGGCGGAUCUGUAAGUCAGUGGUGAAAUCUCACAGCUUAACUGUGAAACUGCCAUUGAUACUGCAGGUCUUGAGUGUUAUUGAAGUAGCUGGAAUAAGUAGUGUAGCGGUGAAAUGCAUAGAUAUUACUUAGAACACCAAUUGCGAAGGCAGGUUACUAAGCAACAACUGACGCUGAUGGACGAAAGCGUGGGGAGCGAACAGGAUUAGAUACCCUGGUAGUCCACGCCGUAAACGAUGCUAACUCGUUUUUGGGGCGUAAGUUUCAGAGACUAAGCGAAAGUGAUAAGUUAGCCACCUGGGGAGUACGAACGCAAGUUUGAAACUCAAAGGAAUUGACGGGGGCCCGCACAAGCGGUGGAUUAUGUGGUUUAAUUCGAUGAUACGCGAGGAACCUUACCAAGGCUUAAAUGGGAAAUGACAGGUUUAGAAAUAGACUUUUCUUCGGACAUUUUUCAAGGUGCUGCAUGGUUGUCGUCAGCUCGUGCCGUGAGGUGUUAGGUUAAGUCCUGCAACGAGCGCAACCCCUGUCACUAGUUGCCAUCAUUAAGUUGGGGACUCUAGUGAGACUGCCUACGCAAGUAGAGAGGAAGGUGGGGAUGACGUCAAAUCAUCACGGCCCUUACGCCUUGGGCCACACACGUAAUACAAUGGCCGGUACAGAGGGCAGCUACACUGCGAAGUGAUGCAAAUCUCGAAAGCCGGUCUCAGUUCGGAUUGGAGUCUGCAACUCGACUCUAUG